UGAUAAACGAUUUAAAGUAAAAAGUUACC
rnacentral:piRNA from 1 species